AUGCGGCGCGUGCUGCGAUUGGAUGGGAGCGCUGUCCGUCGGGCGCGUGUCGCGUGCUUCUGGCAGCCGGGCUCCACUCCGAGCCCAAGCAGCGGCGCGGAAGGAGGAGGAUGGACGGGAGGAGUCUCGUCUGCCUGUUCCCGACAUCCUGCCCUUGAAGGCAGGGACAGCAGCAGCAGCACAGCGCUCUUCUCCUCCUCUGCCUCUCUUUUUUUUUUAUUAAUAUUCUCCUCCUGCGGUGUCUCCUGGACCGGUCGGAGGUUGCGAUGGGGGCCCGGUCAUGUUGAGCGGGGGGAGGGAGGGCCUCUACGAGCUGGGCAGCCGGCUCCAGCAGCAGGGCGAGUCGCGGGCAGCUCUGCGCUGCUUCCUGAGCUGCCUGCUGGGCCUGCCGCACGUGCACAGCUUCCGCUCGCUGCCCGACUGCCUGCACCAGAUCGCCGAGCUCUUCAUAGAGGAAAAGAACUAUGUGAAAGCUCUCCGCUUCAUCCAAGCAGAGAAGAUGUUCUAUGAGGUGGCGCUGAUCGAGCUUACCGCCCUACAAGGCAACGCAGGGGCUCAGGAGGCGUCUCCGCCGGGCUCUCCGGGAUGGGACUCUCCAGAGGAGCCGCUGGAGCUGUCGGAGCUCGCCUCCCAGGCACAGGACUACGAGAGACUGGCCCAGCUGUGCAUCAUGAGUAAAAGACCUCACCUUGCCUUGGAGUACAGCGGGAAGGCCACUAAAAUUCGGCAGAAGGCUUUCGGCAACGACCACCCCAUCACCGCCAGGAGCCUGGAGCUGCUCGCCUCCGUCUAUGCCGAGAUCGGCAAGACCGAGUACUCAGACUCGUUGGGCCAGUGCGUGUCAGCGCUGUCAAAGAGGUUCGCCACCAACGAGCCCUUCAGCAAUGCCCUCAAUGGCACAGCCUCAACCCGCAGGGUCCGCCACCACCACAGGAAGGACCCCCACCCUCCAGAGGAAGCACCAAAACCCCAGGUCUCCACGUGCAAAUUUCCCACCUCCAUCCUGAAGAGGUCCAACCUCAGCGGCAGCGACACAGAGCCCACCCAGAGGCGAAAAUCAGAGCGGCGGGUUCGCUUCAGGGAGCCGGAGAACGUUGUGCACGACAUCCCACAGUGUGACUGUUUAAUAGAUUACGACGGCUCUCCCUGUCGGCCGCACCUGGCGCUGUUCGCCUGCUUCUUCCUGCUGCUGUCCGUGCUGGGGGUGGCGCUGUACUGCACAGACCGGCGGAGGCCACUGCGCAUGUGUGAGGAGCUGGAGGCCCUGCUGGCCGUCUAUCUCCUGCAGAUGAAGCAGGUUGUGUGGGCCUGCUGGAUCUGGCUCACCAUGCAGUGA
rnacentral:lncRNA from 1 species